UCCUCGUUGGUCCAGUGGUAUGGAUAUCCGCCUCUCAUGCAUAGUCCGCGGAUGACCCGGGUUCGAACCCCGGACGGGGAA